rnacentral:rRNA from 1 species
AAAAACAUCGUCUUUUGAUAAUAGAUCGAAACUGCCCGGUGCUGUUAAGUUAACGGCGGCGGUAAUAUGACUGUCCUAAGGUAGCGUAAUAACUUGGCUUCUAAUUGUGGUCUGGAAUGAAUGGGUUAACGAGGGUUUUUCUGUCUUAGAGUUUUUUUGUGAAUUUGGAUUUAAAGUUAAAAUGCUUUAAUGUAGUUUAGGGACGAGAAGACCCCGACGAGUUUUUUCUAUUUCUUUAUUUUUUUUUUUUGGUUGGGGCAACUUUUUAUUUUAAUUUUUUACUUUUUUAAUUUGGGAAUUUUAAGGUUUGCUUUUUAAAGAAUUUUCUUUGUUUUGAUCUAGUUUUUGUUAAAGUUUCCGCGGGGGUAACAGCGUGGUUUUUUCGGACAGCACUUAUAGAAGAAUUAGCUCGCGACCUCGAUGUAGAAUCAUUCUUUCCUGGUGGAGCAGCAAUUACUAGGGUAGGUUUGUUC